rnacentral:rRNA from 1 species
GUCCUGCCUGCCCUGUGACUAAAUGUUUAACGGCCGCGGUAUUUUGACCGUGCGAAGGUAGCGCAAUCACUUGUCUUUUAAAUGAAGACCCGUAUGAAUGGCUUAACGAGGGCUAAGCUGUCUCCUUUUCCCAGUCAAUGAAAUUGAUUUCCCCGUGCAGAAGCGGGGAUAAAACCAUAAGACGAGAAGACCCUAUGGAGCUUUAGACACUAACACAGCUCAACUAAACCCUCCCUUAUAAACAGGGCCCUAUCUUAUGAUCCUGUCCUAAUGUCUUUGGUUGGGGCGACCACGGGGAACUACUUAACCCCCACGUAGGCUGGGAGGACACCUCCUGAAAACAAGAGACCCCCCUCUAAUCAUCAGAACUUCUGACUUAAAAUGAUCCGGUAAAACCGAUCAACGAACCGAGUUACCCUAGGGAUAACAGCGCAAUCCCCUUCUAGAGUCCUUAUCGACAAGGGGGUUUACGACCUCGAUGUUGGAUCAGGACAUCCUAAUGGUGCAGCAGCUAUUAAGGGUUCGUUUGUUCAACGAUUAACAGUCCUACGUGAUCUG